UGAAAACUGAGAAGACAGAAAGACAGGCAAUACUUUAUUGAGAUGGACCUAAUCAGUUGGUGAAAAGUUGCAUGGGUGGAUGAGGUCUCAACCUGUCUGCUAUGGACUAAAGUGUGCUCCCUCCCUAGAUUCAUAGUUGAAGCCCUAAUCACCACUGUGACUAUAUUUGGAGAAAGAGCUUUUAGGAGGCAACCAGGGAGGAAGGCUCUCCUCUGCGACACGUGAAAAGUCCAGCUGAUGUCCAUUUUCCCCUGUGCAAGUCAUUAGCACACAGAGCCACCAAUGUCAAGUCCUUCCACUGACCACACACCAGAUCAUCAAGUAAAUCUUUUGCAAGGCCUGCUACAGCAACAAAGGAAGGGAGAAUUAUACUGGCAGGGUGAUGGCACAGCAUCCCAGAUGCUACAAACAGCGGGAGUAAAUGGAACACGACAUUUCUUCCCCAGCACUGGGUGGAGGAGGCUAUUAGUAAAUUGACUAAGAGCUCACACACGCCUGGAGCAGCAGCAGUGAGAUCUCCACUGCUGGGCCAACCUUUGGUUUUUAAAUACAUUCUGCCCACAGGUGGCCCAAUGUUUUCUCCAAAUUGUUUCUUGUCAACAAAUGAGCUCACCCCUCACCCCCUACUUUUCACCCCAAAGCAUUGCAAAUUCUACCUCUACCCUGUGAGCAAAACAAAAGUGGAUUUCCAGUAAAAGCAAAUGCAUUAUAUAUUCUUUUAUUUCUUCCACAUUCUCCUGGUUGGAUUGGCAUUGAUUCAUGUAGCAAACUUAUUCCCUAAGGAAAAGGCUUUACUAAUAUAGAAAUGCUAAACAAUA